CCUACGGGAGGCAGCAGUGAGGAAUAUUGGUCAAUGGCCGGAAGGCUGAACCAGCCAUGCCGCGUGAAGGUCAGUGCCCUAUGGGCGUUAAACUUCUUUUGUGCGGGAUCAAUAAUGGUCACGUGUGGCCAGACGAGAGUACCGUACGAAUAAGCAUCGGCUAACUCCGUGCCAGCAGCCGCGGUAAUACGGGGGAUGCAAGCGUUAUCCGGAUUUAUUGGGUUUAAAGGGUGCGUAGGCUGUGAGGUAAGUCAGCGGUGAAAUGCCCCCGCUCAACGGGGUGAAGUGCCAUUGAUACUGCCUUGCUGGAGUGCAGGAGAGGUAAGUGGAAUUCCUAGUGUAGCGGUGAAAUGCGUAGAUAUUAGGAGGAACACCAGUGGCGAAGGCGGCUUACUGGACUGUAACUGACGUUGAGGCUCGAAAGCGUGGGGAGCAAACAGGAUUAGAUACCCGUGUAGUC
rnacentral:rRNA from 1 species